rnacentral:rRNA from 1 species
AACGCGAAGAACCUUACCUGGGUUUGACAUACACCGGAAAGCGGUAGAGAUACGGCCCCCCUUGUGGUUGGUGUACAGGUGGUGCAUGGCUGUCGUCAGCUCGUGUCGUGAGAUGUUGGGUUAAGUCCCGCAACGAGCGCAACCCUUGUCCUGUAUUGCCAGCGGGUUAUGCCGGGGACUUGCAGGAGACUGCCGGGGUCAACUCGGAGGAAGGUGGGGAUGACGUCAAGUCAUCAUGCCCCUUAUGUCCAGGGCUUCACACAUGCUACAAUGGCGCGUACAGAGGGCUGCGAGACCGUGAGGUGGAGCGAAUCCCUUAAAGCGCGUCUCAGUUCGGAUUGGGGUCUGCAACUCGACCCCAUGAAGUCGGAGUCGCUAGUAAUCGCAGAUCAGCAACG